rnacentral:rRNA from 1 species
AGCUAAUAGAUACCCCGGUAGUCCACGCCCUAAACGAUGUCUACUAGUUGUUGGUGGAGUAAAAUCCAUGAGUAAACGCAGCUAAACGCGUGAAGUAGACCGCCUGGGGAGUACGGUCGCAAGAUUAAAAACUCAAAGGAAUUGACGGGGGCCCGCACAAGCGGUGGAUUAUGUGGAUUAAAUUCGAUGCAACGCGAAAAACCUUACCUGGCCUUGACAUGCCACUAACGAAGCAGAGAUGCAUUAGGUGCCCGUAAGGGAAAGUGGACACAGGUGCUGCAUGGCUGUCGUCAGCUCGUGUCGUGAGAUGUUGGGUUAAGUCCCGCAACGAGCGCAACCCUUGCCAUUAAUUGCCAUCAUUUAGUUGGGUCACUUUAAUGGGGACUGCCGGUGACAAACCGGAGGAAGUGGGGAUGACGUCAAGUCCUCAUGGCCCUUAUGGCCAGGGCUUCACAC